rnacentral:rRNA from 1 species
GACGAACGCUGGCGGCGUGCUUAACACAUGCAAGUCGAGCGGUAAGGCCCUUCCGGGGGUACACGAGCGGCGAACGGGUGAGUAACACGUGGGUGACCUGCCCUCAGCUCUGGGAUAAGCCUGGGAAACCGGGUCUAAUACUGGAUAUGACUCCAUGACGCAUGUUGUGGGGUGGAAAGCCUUGUGCGGCUGAGGAUGGGCCCGCGGCCUAUCAGCUUGUUGGUGGGGUGAGGCCUACCAAGGCGACGACGGGUAGCCGGCCUGAGAGGGCGACCGGCCACACUGGGACUGAGACACGGCCCAGACUCCUACGGGAGGCAGCAGUGGGGAAUCUUGCGCAAUGGGCGAAAGCCUGACGCAGCGACGCCGCGUGAGGGAUGACGGCCUCGGUUGUAA